CAGCAGCCGCGGUAAUACCGGCGGCCCGAGUGGCGGUCACUCUUAUUGGGCUUAAAGCGUCCGUAGCCGGGUUGGGAAGUCCUCCGGGAAAUCUGGCCGCUUAACGGUCAGAAUGCCGGAGGAUACUCCCAGCCUAGGGAGCGGGAGAGGCCGAGGGGAUUCCCGGGGUAGGGGGGAAAUCCUAUAAUCCCGGGAGGACCACCGGUGGCGAAGGCGCUCGGCUGGAACGCGUCCGACGGUGAGGGACGAAGGCCAGGGGAGCAAACCGGAUUAGAUACCCGGGUAGUCCUGGCUGUAAACGAUGCGGACUUUGUGUCGGACAAGCUAUGAGCUUGUCCGGUGCCGGAGGGAAACCGUUAAGUCCGCCGCCUGGGGAGUACGGCCGCAAGGCUGAAACUUAAAGGAAUUGGCGGG
rnacentral:rRNA from 1 species